rnacentral:rRNA from 1 species
GACGAACGCUGGCGGCGUGCUUAACACAUGCAAGUCGAACGGAAAGGCCUCUUUCGGGGGGUACUCGAGUGGCGAACGGGUGAGUAACACGUGAGUAACCUGCCCUUGACUUUGGGAUAACUUCAGGAAACCGGGGCUAAUACCGGAUAGGAGCUCCUGCUGCAUGGUGGGGGUUGGAAAGUUUCGGCGGUUGGGGAUGGACUCGCGGCUUAUCAGCUUGUUGGUGGGGUAGUGGCUUACCAAGGCUUUGACGGGUAGCCGGCCUGAGAGGGUGACCGGCCACAUUGGGACUGAGAUACGGCCCAGACUCCUACGGGAGGCAGCAGUGGGGAAUAUUGCACAAUGGGUGGAAGCCUGAUGCAGCAACGCCGUGUGCGGGAUGACGGCCUUCGGGUUGGAAACCGCUUUCGCUCAUGACGAAGCUUUGUGUGACGGUAGUGGGUAAAGAAGCACCGGCUAACUACGUG